rnacentral:pre_miRNA from 1 species
AGUGGAAUUGCUGGGUCGUACGGUGUUUCUGUGCUUAACUUUUUGAGGAACCACCAAACUCUUUUCUAAAGCAGCUGCACCAUUUUGCAUUCCCACCAGCAAU